ACAAAGCGGGGAAUCUGACGAGCUUUUCUCUACUUGUGUCACCAACAGACUGUUUAUCAUGAGCAGCAAAUCAGCGUCUGCAGCAAAUGGAAAUGACAGCGAGAAGUUCAAAGGCGAUAGCAAAAGUGCCGGUGUCCCCUCCAGAGUGAUCCACAUUCAGAAGCUCCCCAUCGACGUCACAGAAGGGGAGGUCAUCUCCCUGGGGCUGCCCUUUGGGAAGGUCACCAAUCUCCUGAUGUUGAAGGGGAAAAACCAGGCUUUCAUCGAGAUGAACACGGAGGAGGUUGCCAACACCAUGGUGAACUACUACACCUCCGUGACACCCGUGCUGUGCGGCCAGCCCAUCUACAUCCAGUUCUCCAACCACAAGGAGCUGAAGACGGACAGCUCUCCCAACCAGGCACGCGCCCAGGCGGCCCUGCAGGCCGUGAACUCGGUCCAGUCGGGGAACCUGACUUUGGCUGCCUCGGCGGCGGCUGUGAACACAAGGCUGGUGAUGGCCGGGCAGAGCCCCGUGCUGAGGAUCAUCAUGGAGAACCUCUUCUACCCGGUGACACUGGACGUGCUGCACCAGAUUUUCUCCAAGUUCGGCAUGGUGUUGAAGAUCAUCACCUUCGCCAAGAACAACCAGUUCCAGGCCCUGCAGCAGUACGCGGACCCCGUGAGCGCCCAGCACGCCAAGCUGUCUCUGGACGGGCAGAACAUCUACAACGCCUGCUGCACGCUGCACAUUGACUUCUCCAAGCUCACCAGCCUCAACGUCAAGUACAACAAUGACAAGAGCCGUGACUACACCCGCCCAGACCUGCCCUCUGGGGACAGCCAGCCCUCACUGGACCACACCAUGGCCACGGCCUUUGGCCUCUCUGUUCCCAACGUCCACGGAGCCCUGGCGCCCCUGGCCAUCCACUCGGCAGCGGCGGCAGGCCGGAUAGCCAUUCCAGGCCUGGUUGAGGCAGGAAAUUCUGUGUUGCUAGUCAGCAACCUCAACCCAGAGAAAGUCACACUCCAAAGCCUCUUUAUUCUUUUUGGCAUCUACGGCGAUGUGCAGCGCGUAAAGAUCCUGUUCAAUAAGGAGAAUGCCCUGGUGCAGAUGGCGGACGACAACCAGGCCCAGCUUGCCAUGAGCCAACCAGCACAAGCUGCACGGGAAGCCCAUCUGCAUCACACUCUCGAAGCACCAGAACGUGCAGCUUCCUGGAGAGGGCCAGGAGGACCAGGGCCUGACCAAGGACUAUGGCAACUCGCCCCUGCACCGCUUGAAGAAACCAGGCUCCAAGAACCCUUAACAUAUUCCCACCCUCGGCCACCCUGCACCUCUCAAACAUCCCACCCUCAGUGUCCGAGGAAGAUCUCAAGGUCCUCUUCUCCAGCAAUGAGGGCAUCGUCAAAGGAUUCAAGUUCUUCCAAAAGGACCGCAAGAUGGAGCUGAUCCAGAUGGGCUCCAUGGAGUAGGCGGUCCAGGCCCUCAUUGAUCUGCACAACCACGACCUCGGGGAGAGCCACCGCCUGCAGGUCUCCUUCUCCAAGUCCACCAUCUAG